CCCCAGGGCCUGAGAGUGUCCCCGUGUCUCCCUCAGGGCCUGGAAGUGUCCCCGUGUCUCCCCUAGGGCCUGAGAGUGUCCCCGUGUCUCCCCCAGGGCCUGAGAGUUGUCCCCGUGUCUCCCCCAGGGCCUGAGAGUGUCCCCGUGUCUCCCCAGGGCCUGAGAGUGUCCCCGUGUCUCCCCAGGGCCUGAGAAUGUCCUCGUGUU